CCCCUCAUAGCUCAAUUGGUAGAGCAUCUCCCUCUUAAGGAGCUGGUUCCAGGUUCGAGUCCUGGUGGGGGGA
rnacentral:tRNA from 1 species